AGAGUUUGAUCCUGGCUCAGAUUGAACGCUGGCGGCGUGCUUAACACAUGCAAGUCGAACGAGAAAGGGACUUCGGUCCUGAGUAGAGUGGCGCACGGGUGAGUAACGCGUAGGUAAUCUACCUCUGCAUCUGGGAUAACACUUCGAAAGGGGUGCUAAUACCGGAUACACUUAUGGGUCGCAAGACCUAUAAGGAAAGGAGACGAUCCGCAAGGAGUUUCUGUGUAGAGAUGAGCCUGCGUCCCAUUAGCUAGUUGGCAGGGUAAGAGCCUACCAAGGCGACGAUGGGUAGCGGGUCUGAGAGGAUGAUCCGCCACACUGGAGCUGAAACACGGACCAGACUCCUACGGGAGGCAGCAGUGAGGAAUAUUGGACAAUGGGGGCAACCCUGAUCCAGCCAUUCCGCGUGAGUGAAGAAGGCCUUCGGGUUGUAAAGCUCUUUCGGCAGGAACGAAACGGUGAGGGCUAAUACCCCUUAUCAAUGACGGUACCUGAAGAAGAAGCACCGGCUAACUACGUGCCAGCAGCCGCGGUAAUACGUAGGGUGCGAGCGUUAAUCGGAAUUACUGGGCGUAAAGCGUGCGCAGGCGGUUCUAUAAGACAGAUGUGAAAUCCCCGGGCUUAACCUGGGAACUGCGUUUGUGACUGUAGGACUCGAGUGUGGCAGAGGGGGGUGGAAUUCCACGUGUAGCAGUGAAAUGCGUAGAGAUGUGGAGGAACACCGAUGGCGAAGGCAGCCCCCUGGGUCAACACUGACGCUCAUGCACGAAAGCGUGGGGAGCAAACAGGAUUAGAUACCCUGGUAGUCC
rnacentral:rRNA from 1 species